UGGGGAAUAUUGGACAAUGGGCGCAAGCCUGAUCCAGCCAUGCCGCGUGAGUGAUGAAGGCCCUAGGGUUGUAAAGCUCUUUCACCGGUGAAGAUAAUGACGGUAACCGGAGGAGAAGCCCCGGCUAACUUCGUGCCAGCAGCCGCGGUAAUACGAAGGGGGCUAGCGUUGUUCGGAUUUACUGGGCGUAAAGCGCACGUAGGCGGACUAUUAAGUCAGGGGUGAAAUCCCGGGGCUCAACCCCGGAACUGCCUUUGAUACUGGUAGUCUUGAGUUCGAGAGAGGUGAGUGGAAUUCCGAGUGUAGAGGUGAAAUUCGUAGAUAUUCGGAGGAACACCAGUGGCGAAGGCGGCUCACUGGCUCGAUACUGACGCUGAGGUGCGAAAGCGUGGGGAGCAAACAGG
rnacentral:rRNA from 1 species